GACGAACGCUGGCGGCGUGCUUAACACAUGCAAGUCGAACGGAAAGGCCCUUCGGGGUACUCGAGUGGCGAACGGGUGAGUAACACGUGGGUGAUCUGCCCUGCACUUUGGGAUAAGCCUGGGAAACUGGGUCUAAUACCGAAUAGGACCACGCGCUUCAUGGUGUGUGGUGGAAAGCUUUUGCGGUGUGGGAUGGGCCCGCGGCCUAUCAGCUUGUUGGUGGGGUAAUGGCCUACCAAGGCGACGACGGGUAGCCGGCCUGAGAGGGUGACCGGCCACACUGGGACUGAGAUACGGCCCAGACUCCUACGGGAGGCAGCAGUGGGGAAUAUUGCACAAUGGGCGCAAGCCUGAUGCAGCGACGCCGCGUGAGGGAUGACGGCCUUCGGGUUGUAAACCUCUUUCAAUAGGGACGAAGCGCAAGUGACGGUACCUAUAGAAGAAGCACCGGCCAACUACGUGCCAGCAGCCGCGGUAAUACGUAGGGUGCGAGCGUUGUCCGGAAUUACUGGGCGUAAAGAGCUCGUAGGUGGUUUGUCGCGUUGUUCGUGAAAACUCACAGCUUAACUGUGGGCGUGCGGGCGAUACGGGCAGACUAGAGUACUGCAGGGGAGACUGGAAUUCCUGGUGUAGCGGUGGAAUGCGCAGAUAUCAGGAGGAACACCGGUGGCGAAGGCGGGUCUCUGGGCAGUAACAGACGCUGAGGAGCGAAAGCGUGGGGAGCGAACAGGAUUAGAUACCCUGGUAGUCCACGCCGUAAACGGUGGGUACUAGGUGUGGGUUCCUUCCUUGGGAUCCGUGCCGUAGCUAACGCAUUAAGUACCCCGCCUGGGGAGUACGGCCGCAAGGCUAAAACUCAAAGGAAUUGACGGGGGCCCGCACAAGCGGCGGAGCAUGUGGAUUAAUUCGAUGCAACGCGAAGAACCUUACCUGGGUUUGACAUGCACAGGACGCCGGCAGAGAUGUCGGUUCCCUUGUGGCCUGUGUGCAGGUGGUGCAUGGCUGUCGUCAGCUCGUGUCGUGAGAUGUUGGGUUAAGUCCCGCAACGAGCGCAACCCUUGUCCUAUGUUGCCAGCGGGUUAUGCCGGGGACUCGUAGGAGACUGCCGGGGUCAACUCGGAGGAAGGUGGGGAUGACGUCAAGUCAUCAUGCCCCUUAUGUCCAGGGCUUCACACAUGCUACAAUGGCCGGUACAAAGGGCUGCGAUGCCGUGAGGUGGAGCGAAUCCUUUCAAAGCCGGUCUCAGUUCGGAUCGGGGUCUGCAACUCGACCCCGUGAAGUCGGAGUCGCUAGUAAUCGCAGAUCAGCAACGCUGCGGUGAAUACGUUCCCGGGCCU
rnacentral:rRNA from 1 species